rnacentral:rRNA from 1 species
GAUGAACGCUGGCGGCGUGCCUAAUACAUGCAAGUCGAGCGAACGGACGAGAAGCUUGCUUCUCUGAUGUUAGCGGCGGACGGGUGAGUAACACGUGGAUAACCUACCUAUAAGACUGGGGUAACUUCGGGAAACCGGAGCUAAUACCGGAUAAUAUUUUGAACCGCAUGGUUCAAAAGUGAAAGACGGUCUUGCUGUCAUUUAUAGAUGGAUCCGCGCUGCAUUAGCUAGUUGGUAAGGUAACGGCUUACCAAGGCAACGAUGCAUAGCCGACCUGAGAGGGUGAUCGGCCACACUGGAACUGAGACACGGUCCAGACUCCUACGGGAGGCAGCAGUAGGGAAUCUUCCGCAAUGGGCGAAAGCCUGACGGAGCAACGCCGCGUGAGUGAUGAAGGUCUUCGGAUCGUAAAACUCUGUUAUUAGGGAAGAACAUAUGUGUAAGUAACUGUGCACAUCUUGACGGUACCUAAUCAGAAAGCCACGGCUAACUACGUG